AUGAUAAGGAUGGUGCCAUUUGACAUUCGGUCAAGGGAUGGAGCAGGAAGGCUUGAGAUGCACAACCCAUAUCUUUAAGGCACUUUCCAUUUGGUAGAGAAAUGGAAAUGUAUGCACACAGCGGCACAUGCGAUGGCAACAGAACCCAGGGCCUGUACCAGGCCUACUAAGGAGUGAGCUGAUGCGGCUGAGAGUUUUGGAAUGUGAGGCUGGGAUGACAAGCCUGGGGCCUGGCUCUUCUGUGCUCAGUGAGGACUGCUCCAGCCUCAGCCCCAACUCCCAGCAAAGCCCAGUUUACAGAGGAUGAAACUGAGGCACAGAGAAGUCAAGCAUCUUGUGCGGGGUCAGGAUUGGGACCCAGGCAGCCUGCUCCAGAGCCGGGCUCUGACCCUCCACAAGAGCCAUCACUAAAGUUCCACUUACCGCUGCACCUUCAAUCUCUUCCUCUCUCCAUCCCUCCCACAUGUUCACAGAUGAAAUCUUCUUCCUUUCUUAUUUAAUAAAACAAUGUAAUGACCAGCCUGGCAAA
rnacentral:lncRNA from 1 species